GUUUUUUUAAAGAAAUCGUAACACACGCACGAACGGAAGUGAGCAUGGACCACGACAGAAGCAAUAUUGAAUUGGUUGGAGUCCCGAAAAGAGAACAGGAGAUGAAAGAAGGCAGGAGGAUCCACCAACGUGCUAGCGCCUGGUAGAGGAGAAGCGGCAGGAAGGUAGAGACGAACAUCCAGCUCGCUAGCACAGCACGUGGGAGCAGCGAGAGGGAGGCAAGCAGAACGCGUACACACCAUUCGACGAAGGCAAAGCUGGAGGAGAGGAAGAACGAGGAGAGAAGGCAGGCAAGACGGGUACGUGUGUAUCCCACACCGGUUUUAGGCAGUGUGAAUUGUGUGAGUAUGUAAAUAUGUAUGUGCGAGUAAGAAGGUAAAAUAAAGAGCGUAAGCAUGUGCAGAAUGGA